rnacentral:rRNA from 1 species
CCCUUAGAUGUUCUGGGCCGCACACGCGCUACACUGAAGGAGGCAGCGUGUACUCCUGGAUCGAAAGAUUUGGGUAACCCGCGAAUCUCCUUCGUGCUAGGGAUUGAGGUUUGCAAUUAUCCUUCAUGAACGAGGAAUUCCCAGUAAGUGCAAGUCAUAAGCUUGCGCUGACUACGUCCCUGCCCUUUGUACACACCGCCCGUCGCUACUACCGAUUGAAUGAUUUAGUGAGGACUUCGGACUGGGACCGAUGCGGCUUUCGGGCUGCGUCGGUAUUCUGGAAAGAUGUCCAAACUGUAUCAUUUAGAGGAAGUAAAAGCCGUANCA